rnacentral:rRNA from 1 species
AGUGAACGCUGGCGGUAGGCCUAACACAUGCAAGUCGAACGGCAGCACAGUAAGAGCUUGCUCUUACGGGUGGCGAGUGGCGGACGGGUGAGGAAUACAUCGGAAUCUACUUUUUCGUGGGGGAUAACGUAGGGAAACUUACGCUAAUACCGCAUACGACCUACGGGUGAAAGCAGGGGAUCUUCGGACCUUGCGCGAUUGAAUGAGCCGAUGUCGGAUUAGCUAGUUGGCGGGGUAAAGGCCCACCAAGGCGACGAUCCGUAGCUGGUCUGAGAGGAUGAUCAGCCACACUGGAACUGAGACACGGCCCAGACUACUGCGGGACGGAGCAGUGAGGAACAGUGGACCAUGGGCGCAAGCCUUAUCCAGGCAUACCGCGUGGGUGAAGAAGGCCUUCGGGUUGUAAAGCCCUUUUGUUGGGAAAGAAAAGCAGCAGCUUAAUACCCCGCUGUUCUGACGGUACCCAAAGAAUAAGCACCGGCUAACUUCUUG